GACGAACGCUGGCGGCGUGCUUAACACAUGCAAGUCGAACGGAAAGGCCCUGCUUUUGUGGGGUGCUCUAGUGGCGAACGGGUGAGUAACACGUGAGUUACCUGCCCCUGACUUUGGGAUAACCUCAGGAAACUGGGUCUAAUACCGGCUAGGAGCUCCUGCUGCAUGGUGGGGGUUGGAAAGUUUCGGUGGUUGGGGAUGGACUCGCGGCCUAUCAGCUUGUUGGUGGGGUAGUGGCUUACCAAGGCUUUGACGGGUAGCCGGCCUGGGAGGGUAACCGGCCACAUUGGGACUGAGAUACGACCCAGACUCCAACGGGAGGCAGCGGUGGGGAAUAGUGCACAAUGGGCGGAAGCCUGAUGCAGCAACGCCGCGUGCGGGAUGACGGCCUUCGGGUUGUAAACCGCUUUCGCCUGUGACGAAGCGUGAGUGACGGUAAUGGGUAAAGAAGCACCGGCUAACUACGUG
rnacentral:rRNA from 1 species